UACGGAGGGUGCGAGCGUUGUCCGGAAUCACUGGGCGUAAAGGGCGCGUAGGCGGCGCGAGCAGUCGAUCGUGAAAGUCCGGAGCUCAACUCCGGAUCAGCGGUCGAUACUCUCGUGCUUGAGCACUGUAGAGGCAGAUGGAAUUCCGGGUGUAGCGGUGGAAUGCGUAGAGAUCCGGAAGAACACCGGUGGCGAAGGCGGUCUGCUGGGCAGUUGCUGACGCUGAUGCGCGACAGCGUGGGGAGCAAACAGG
rnacentral:rRNA from 1 species